AUAGUUGAAACAAGUCUAGAACCCUAACGCUGGAAUCUUCUAGAUUGUUCUAGAAGGCUCCACACAUAUUUUAAAAAAAAAGAAUUUAGGUCAGAAUUGGUUAAAAUCGAAAUACUUAGUAAUUGAAGGGUUAAAAUUGGGUUUUCAUUAGAUAAAAUUCAGAAUGUUCUAUCAUUUGUACAGCUGUCCCCAUUUCCAGCAUGAAAAAUGUUAAAAUUGGCUUAAAAAGGGACAUACAACUUUCCAAAAUUUUUGUACUAUCCGACAUUUAGGGAAUUUAGGGUAGAAUAUGCUAUUUUAGAUGAUAUUUUGGCAUACCCAAUAAAAGGAAAGUUAAUCUCUCAUUCUGCCAAAGUUUUUUGCAAUAACAGAUCUCUCACCUAAAAGUUCUGAAUACAAAGACAAUAUUUUCUAAAAAAAUGUGUCUAGAAAAAGCAUCAGUUUUCCUAGUUAGAAUUUUAGGCUUAUUUUCUCAAAUAAUUUGAUUUCUGAUAAGUUUAAGUUCUGGUCCUUUGGUUUUCUCGAUUGAUUUUUUACUGCUGAUGUUUGGGUUUUCGUUGUUUCUCUAUCUUUAAGUUUCUUCGAACAUUUCACUUGUUUUUGCUCGUAAUUUUUGCUAUUUUUCAAAGUACUUAUUUCAACUUUAUUUAUGCACUGCUUGUUUUAAUUAUAUAAGAUAAAGAGAUGCAAUUAUAUGUGAUGAAUGAGUAUCCUUAAAUGUAGUUGUUUGAUUACAUUGUUAUAGAUCCAAUAAAACUGUUUCUAUGUUGGGUUCUAGGGGUUGAAAUAACCUUGCAUGAGUAGUUUUGGUUGGUACAUUGAUAUUUGUAGCUUCUUCCCUUAAAAGUGAUUUUGUUUGAAGAUGCCUCUUUAAGUUAAAUGCUGACCAUGUUAAACACUGAAACUUAAUGUCAGCUAUUGAACUUGUUUUUGUUUCUUCCUAUAUUGAUUGAUGAAUGAUAUGGUAUUUUUUUUAUGAGGACAUGUUACCUAUGGGGUUAUAACUUGUGGAUUUGGUCACUAGUUGGCUAAAUCAGCUUAUUUUAAAGCUAAAAGCUAGAAUUUGGUUGUUGCUACUAUGCUGAAAUCGAUGGUUUCAUGUGGUGAACUAUGCUUGAUGGACCAAUUAUAUCCAAAAGGAGCGAGUUGUUCCCUAGGCGGUCCAUUCCAGAAAAGUUGUAAUAGAGUUAGUUGAAAUAUUUACCUUUAAAAAUGGAAUUUCGAUGAAAUUGAUUUGUUAUUGUUGUAGCAAUUCAUGUAUUAUGUACUCCAAUGUAAUUUUUUUUAUUGCCAAAAGGCCUUUACAUUAUUUGUUAUAGCAAUGCUAUUAAUGUAAUUUGUAAUGUUACAAUAGUUAAGGCUAUGGGCCAGUUGCUACAAUUAAACUUCUGCUUCUGCGAUUCAGCUUGGUCCAGACAUACAAAUGAGCCCAAUUGGGAAAAAUAAUCUCAAAUGUGUCUGGGCCUAGGCUAUUGGGUGUGGGCAUUAAACCCAAUAGCUUGACCCCUGGCUAUGGGCUUACCUUUUUAAUAAUAGCAUAAACUCAUUUCUUUUAUGUAUUGUAAAUCAUGUGUAGUGUAAUUAAUUUCUAAACUUGAAUUGUAUUCUGAUUCUCACAUUGAAAUGAACUGGAU
rnacentral:lncRNA from 1 species